rnacentral:rRNA from 1 species
GAGCAACUUGCCCGUUUCGAGGGGAUAACCGGUGAAACGCCGAUAAUACCCNUAGCAUCACAUUGAGGCAUCUUUAUGUGAUUAAAGAAUUUCGGAAACGGAUAGGCUCGCGUGACAUUAGCUAGAUGGCGGGGGUAACGGCCCACCAUGGCGACGAUGUCUAGGGGUUCUGAGAGGAAGGUCCCCCACACUGGAACUGAGACACGGUCCAGACUCCUACGGGAGGCAGCAGUGAGGAAUAUUGGUCAAUGGUCGAGAGACUGAACCAGCCAUGCCGCGUGAAGGUCACGGCCCUAUGGGUCUUAAACUUCUUUUGUAAGGGAGCAAUAAGGUCUACGUGUAGAUCGAUGAGAGUACCUUACGAAUAAGCAUCGGCUAACUCCGUG